GGGGCCGUAGCUCAGAUGGGAGAGCGCCUGCUUUGCACGCAGGAGGUCAGGGGUUCGAUUCCCCUCGGCUCCACCA
rnacentral:tRNA from 1 species